AACUGGUGGAAAAGGCCUGGUCAGUCCAGAGUGGAUCUUUGGGUUUGUCAAAGAUAGUAGUGGGCUUACAGACCAGUUGUAGCACUGAACUGAUUCACUGCCCAAACUAUACAUCAUUCUUUUUGUGGGUUGAUGUUCUAAUUGUGAAUAUGCUGUAUGGAGUGUAAGAAGUUCCUUCAUUGAUUGCUGAUUUCUGCAGGUAGACGGGAGGAAAUUCCUGUAAACCAAAAUAAACAUCAGAGAAGAUGAUGUGGCUGUGCCAUCUUUUCUGGGAGCUGAGGCUUCAUCUCAGCCCCUCACAGGAAGAUACGGACAGCACUCUGUGGCUCCAGCUCUGCUCCCCCAUUCCUUCCCAUGCGCGCUCCCUGCAGGCACGCUGCUGCUGUGGGCUGAUAUCAUCGUGUAAGGCACAGCUCCUUUUCCUCUGGUGAAAAGCAGACCUCACAGAAUAGCGUUUCCCUGCAAAACAGUGUCAUUUCCACCAAGUCAGCAGAAGCCUUGAUGUAGCUUAAGCUAUUGAAGUGCAGUGGCUGCUCCGUUACCAGGAGAAUUCCUUAUUGGUGCUGCAAAACUUUUCAGGAGCUGCCUUUGAAGCUGUUAUUUGAGGUCAGGGUCCGCAGCCUCUUGCAGUAUCUCCCUGUCAGCCCGCAGCACUCCCUGAAAGCCCUUACACUGGGUAUUGUGACAAAUAGCAGCUCUUUGUUCAUUAGUUUACACUGCAAAAUAGACACGAGGCCGAGGAUGGCUCUCAGCAAGUGCUUCACACUAAUGCUGAUGUCUUCUGUGUCUCAAGAGGUUGGAGACAGUACAACCUCCUUUUUCAAGGCUCUGGCUUUUUAAUUAAAACAGCAAGCUAAGGAGUGGGUGGCUUCAGAGCAUCCUGGCCCAAGGAGGAAUGACAAGAACGCAGCUGUUCCUAAAAUAAACUAAUUACUACCUGCUAUCUUACAGGUAUAAAGCUGUUGCUGCCUGAUGGAGGUGGAUUAGCAAACAUGCAGACGUUACUGCAAUGCAAACACCAAGCUGGGGGGAAGGGGUGCUGGAGAAGACUGAGCUUUGUGCCCAUUUGCACUAUUUGGCUGAAUUUAGAGCUGUUACACCACCCAGUUCACUUCAGUGCUGCAACCUGGUAGCACUCCACCCCAACCACAGCUUAAAAACCAACAGCACAGGCAUUACAGCAGCUAAUAGCAGAGGCAUGAAGUACAUCCCUCCAGCAUUGUUUGAGCUCAUUUACCCCAGAGUUUGAGCUGGG
ensembl:lncRNA